rnacentral:sRNA from 1 species
UGAUGAUUUCUGCCUCGUCGGUGUCGGC